CACGUAGGGUGCGAGCGUUGUCCGGAAUUAUUGGGCGUAAAGAGCUCGUAGGCGGUCUGUUGCGUCGGCUGUGAAAACCCGAGGCUCAACCUCGGGCCUGCAGCCGAUACGGGCAGACUAGAGUUCGGCAGGGGAGACUGGAAUUCCUGGUGUAGCGGUGAAAUGCGCAGAUAUCAGGAGGAACACCGGUGGCGAAGGCGGGUCUCUGGGCCGAUACUGACGCUGAGGAGCGAAAGCGUGGGGAGCGAACAGG
rnacentral:rRNA from 1 species